rnacentral:rRNA from 1 species
UACGAAGGGGGCUAGCGUUGCUCGGAAUCACUGGGCGUAAAGGGUGCGUAGGCGGGUCUUUUAAGUCAGGGGUGAAAUCCUGGAGCUCAACUCCAGAACUGCCUUUGAUACUGAGGAUCUUGAGUUCGGGAGAGGUGAGUGGAAUUUCCGGUGUAGCGGUGAAAUGCGUAGAUAUCGGAAGGAACACCGGUGGCGAAAGCGGCUCACUGGACCAUUACUGACGCUGAGACGCGAAAGCGUGGGGAGCGAACAGG